rnacentral:rRNA from 1 species
GCCUGAUGGAGGGGGAUAACUACUGGAAACGGUAGCUAAUACCGCAUAACCUCGCAAGAGCAAAGAGGGGGACCUUCGGGCCUCUCGCCAUCAGAUGUGCCCAGAUGGGAUUAGCUAGUAGGUGAGGUAAUGGCUCACCUAGGCGACGAUCCCUAGCUGGUCUGAGAGGAUGACCAGCCACACUGGAACUGAGACACGGUCCAGACUCCUACGGGAGGCAGCAGUGGGGAAUAUUGCACAAUGGGCGCAAGCCUGAUGCAGCCAUGCCGCGUGUGUGAAGAAGGCCUUCGGGUUGUAAAGCACUUUCAGCGGGGAGGAAGGCGACAAGGUUAAUAACCUUGUCGAUUGACGUUACCCGCAGAAGAAGCACCGGCUAACUCCGUGCCAGCAGCCGCGGUAAUACGGAGGGUGCAAGCGUUAAUCGGAAUGACUGGGCGUAAAGCGCACGCAGGCGGUCUGUUAAGUUGGAUGUGAAAUCCCCGGGCUUAACCUGGGAACUGCAUUCAAAACUGACAGGCUAGAGUCUUGUAGAGGGGGGUAGAAUUCCAGGUGUAGCGGUGAAAUGCGUAGAGAUCUGGAGGAAUACCGGUGGCGAAGGCGGCCCCCUGGACAAAGACUGACGCUCAGGUGCGAAAGCGUGGGGAGCAAACAGGAUUAGAUACCCUGGUAGUCCACGCUGUAAACGAUGUCGACUUGGAGGUUGUGCCCUUGAGGCGUGGCUUCCGGAGCUAACGCGUUAAGUCGACCGCCUGGGGAGUACGGCCGCAAGGUUAAAACUCAAAUGAAUUGACGGGGGCCCGCACAAGCGGUGGAGCAUGUGGUUUAAUUCGAUGCAACGCGAAGAACCUUACCUACUCUUGACAUCCAGAGAAUUUGCUAGAGAUACCUUAGUGCCUUCGGGAACUGUGAGACAGGUGCUGCAUGGCUGUCGUCAGCUCGUGUUGUGAAAUGUUGGGUUAA